rnacentral:rRNA from 1 species
UACGUAGGGGGCAAGCGUUGUCCGGAUUUAUUGGGCGUAAAGGGCGCGUAGGCGGAAUGGCAAGUCGGUCGUGAAAUCCUUCGGCUCAACCGAAGAACGUCGAUCGAAACUGCCGUUCUUGAGGAUUGCAGAGGAGACUGGAAUUCCCGGUGUAGCGGUGAAAUGCGCAGAUAUCGGGAGGAACACCAAUGGCGAAGGCAGCUCGCUGGGACGGUACUGACGCUGAGACGCGAAAGCGUGGGGAGCAAACAGG